AUUGAACGCUGGCGGCAGGCUUAACACAUGCAAGUCGAACGAGUGGCGGACGGGUGAGUAAUGUCUGGGAAACUGCCUGAUGGAGGGGGAUAACUACUGGAAACGGUAGCUAAUACCGCAUACCAUCGGAUGUGCCCAGAUGGGAUUAGCUAGUAGGUGGGGUAAAGGCUCACCUAGGCGACGAUCCUUAGCUGGUCUGAGAGGAGGACCGGCCACACUGGAACUGAGACACGGUCCAGACUCCUACGGGAGGCAGCAGUGGGGAAUAUUGCACAAUGGGCGAAAGCCUGAUGCAGCCAUGCCGCGUGUAUGAAGAAGGCCUUCGGGUUGUAAAGUACUUUCGGCGGGGAGGCGUUACCCGCAGAAGAAGCACCGGCUAACUCCGUGCCAGCGGCCGCGGUAAUAC
rnacentral:rRNA from 1 species